UGAAUUUUGUUAGAUAUUACACUCAGUCUCCCCACACUCAAGUCUUCCCAGCUACGCAAGGCAAGUGACAAAUUUUGAGAUGAUUAGUGUUCUAUACUUCACCUACUCAAAAAAAGGAAAAUGAAGAAUUCCAUAGUGGGCUUUUGUAGAGCUGUUAGUGUUUCUCAAGCUUACAUUGGACAUCGGAGUGGAAAAGGAAUGAAAAUUGCUUAUUUUUUUACUUUGUGUUGG
rnacentral:misc_RNA from 1 species